GGAGGCGUGGCAGAGCGGUCGAUCGCACGAGUCUUGAAAACUCGAGUCCGGGAAACCGGACCGGAGGUUCGAAUCCUCCCGCCUCCG
rnacentral:tRNA from 1 species